UCAGCCAUUUGUGCAUUUCGUAUGUUUAAAUCAUGAGUGAAAAAUGAGUGUAGGAAAAAAAAAGAAGGGGAGGGCGUUAUUGUGCGAUUUGGAGAAGAGGCUUCUGUUAUGGUGAGGAAAAUCAGGGGAGUGAAGGGAUGUCCAAAUGAAUUUGAUCGAGGACCAAGAAGGAGGGCUCGAUCCACCAUUUGUGGUUGUUCUUCGAGAGAAGAAGCUCCCUGUUGCCCGAUUUUCUUGUGAAGGGGUAUGAUGUGUAAAAGGGGGAGGGUUUUUUUUUUAUUUUUGUGUGUGUCCUCUAGAGUAAAUCGAGUGUGUGUGCUUUAUCGUGAAGAAGAAGAGAACAGGAAAGGGGGCACGCAUUUCGCGUGUCUCUAAGGGAAGAAGGGAUAUUAGCUAAAUGGGAUUUCGGUCAUGGGUCAUGGGUUUUUGGGAUGGAUUUAAUUGGGCUGAGCUAUUUGGCCCAGAUUUGGGUCUUAAGACCAACCUUUUAGUUUGUU
rnacentral:lncRNA from 1 species